rnacentral:siRNA from 1 species
UGCAUGAAAGGAUUACCGACAUUG